rnacentral:tRNA from 1 species
GCCGGAGUAGCUCAGCUGGUCAGAGCAUCUGAUUUGUAAUCAGGAGGCCAGGGGUUCGAAUCCCCUCUCCGGCU